UUCAAACUUUUGCACAUGAAAAGCUCACUAUAUAAUUUUCUGGAGGGUCGCCGGAAUUCUACUCCUCAAUUGACAUAUCAGGCGUUGCCACUGACAGUUGACAUCUCAGCUAGCUGAAGACAUUCCAGAGUUGUAGAGGUAGGGCUCCGUAAUUCUAUUAGAGAUUCUUAUGGAAGUGUAAUAUCUGGAAUAUUUAUUGUUUGCUGGCACUUUGGCCAAGUGCUCUGCACCACCAGGUGCUUGGAUACUGAAACACCGUAGUGACAAGUCUUCUGCCCUACCAUAGUGACAAGUCUUCUGCCCUGAAUACCAUCAGGGACCGUAGAGCGAAUUGUUAGAGUCCUUUGUGGAAAUAGUGCAUGAUUUGAGAUGAGCCUGGUGAUAAUUGAGUGCCUAGUAUUUUGUGGGCAUGACCACAUGAAGGCAUGAAGCACAUACAUUCAAUUCCAUUGGGCGAUAACAUCUAGAGGCUGAUCCAAUCUUCUGGUUGCUGGGUUAAAUUGUUUGAACCAUUGUAGAUGUAACCUUAUUCAUCUGUAUCUUGGGUUCUAUUAUCUAUUAUAUCGAUUUCAUCUAUAUGGAGCACAUCUGUAUGGAGCAUUUAUGUUGGUGCUCAUAUCUUGGGUUCUAUUAUCUAUCAUAUUGACUUCAUCUGUAUGGAGCGCUUUUGUAUGAAUUAUAUUGGACUCCUCGUGCCUUAAUUUGUAAUUUAUGAUGUUAUAAUAUGGUGCUUGUAUGUAUGAUGUAAUAUAAAUU